GUCUCCAUGUCCACUCAGGCCAGCGGCCCUGCCUGGCAGGACUGGAGGUGGCCCCGCCUAAAGGAUGUGAGGGUCACCGAGCAGGCCAGGGAGACAGGGACACGCGGGACCAACCUUUCAGCGACCCCUUGGCGGUGCGCGUGCCCGCUGCGAGGUGAGGUCCCGUGCACGCGCUUUCUGCUGGUCCGUGUGCGCCUGCGCAGGAUCCACCGGCCUCCUACCCCUCCUGCCGUUGGUCGGACAACAGCGCCCAACCAGAGUGCUCUGCGUCAAACCCUCCAAAAGGUGGGAGCUGCCUGGAUACGCUGAGGCCGAGCCCGCUUAGGAAGUUCCUCCUCCAGCCCUUCCUGGGACAAUGGGAACCUGAGGCCAGGGGAGGGGGGACUGGCCUGGGACCCACCGACUGUAGGUGGCCUGUCACCCCGAUGGCUCCGCCAUGUGCCUGGAGAGGCCCACAAGGAACACUGAGAGGCGCAGUCUGGCCAGACACUGCUGUGAUCCCACCGAGCAACCCCAUCGCCCUCCUGGCCAGUGUGGACGCAGGGACGGAGUCUCCACAGAGCAAUCUCCAGGAGCAGGUACCCAGGACUGCCUGGGAAGGCCCAUGACCCCGCCCAGGCCACGGUCCCUGGUCAUCUUAUGUCGGACUCUGGUCCUAGAGCCGGAGCUCACGGAGACUGACUUCCAGGGUGAGAAGCUGGGGUGGGUGUCUGUGGGUGUCUGGGCAGGGGUGGGUGCUGGGCCCCACAGGGAGGAGCCUCAGAAGCUGAGGUGGGGCCAGAAGCCAAGACGGCUCAGAGCACCCAGCUGGGGGAUGGUUGUCAGGGAGAUGCCUUCGGGGGUCCCUUCCUGGCUGUGGCCCCUCUGGGAGGCUCUGGGCUGGGUCUGUCCUUAUAGGGGCUCACAGGGAGUCAGGCAUGUUGGGGGGGGCCUCUCUCCUCCCACAUGGGACUCCAUCUGA
rnacentral:lncRNA from 1 species